rnacentral:rRNA from 1 species
UCGAGCGGAUGAAGGGAGCUUGCUCCUGGAUUCAGCGGCGGACGGGUGAGUAAUGCCUAGGAAUCUGCCUGGUAGUGGGGGAUAACGUCCGGAAACGGGCGCUAAUACCGCAUACGUCCUGAGGGAGAAAGUGGGGGAUCUUCGGACCUCACGCUAUCAGAUGAGCCUAGGUCGGAUUAGCUAGUUGGUGGGGUAAAGGCCUACCAAGGCGACGAUCCGUAACUGGUCUGAGAGGAUGAUCAGUCACACUGGAACUGAGACACGGUCCAGACUCCUACGGGAGGCAGCAGUGGGGAAUAUUGGACAAUGGGCGAAAGCCUGAUCCAGCCAUGCCGCGUGUGUGAAGAGGGUCUUCGGAUUGUAAAGCACUUUAAGUUGGGAGGAAGGGCAGUAAGUUAAUACCUUGCUGUUUUGACGUUACCAACAGAAUAAGCACCGGCUAACUUCGUGCCAGCAGCCGCGGUAAUACGAAGGGUGCAAGCGUUAAUCGGAAUUACUGGGCGUAAAGCGCGCGUAGGUGGUUCAGCAAGUUGGAUGUGAAAUCCCCGGGCUCAACCUGGGAACUGCAUCCAAAACUACUGAGCUAGAGUACGGUAGAGGGUGGUGGAAUUUCCUGUGUAGCGGUGAAAUGCGUAGAUAUAGGAAGGAACACCAGUGGCGAAGGCGACCACCUGGACUGAUACUGACACUGAGGUGCGAAAGCGUGGGGAGCAAACAGG